rnacentral:rRNA from 1 species
UACGUAGGGUGCGAGCGUUGUCCGGAAUUACUGGGCGUAAAGGGCUCGUAGGCGGUCUGUCGCGUCGAAAGUGAAAACCCAGGGCUUAACCCUGGGCCUGCUUCCGAUACGGGCAGACUAGAGGUAUGCAGGGGAGAACGGAAUUCCUGGUGUAGCGGUGAAAUGCGCAGAUAUCAGGAGGAACACCGGUGGCGAAGGCGGUUCUCUGGGCAUUACCUGACGCUGAGGAGCGAAAGUGUGGGGAGCGAACAGG